GAAGUUAAUACCCGAUGGCAUAGUUCUUCCGCAUGGUGGAACUAUUAAAGAAUUUCGGUCAUCGAUGGGGAUGCGUUCCAUUAGGUUGUUGGCGGGGUAACGGCCCACCAAGCCUUCGAUGGAUAGGGGUUCUGAGAGGAAGGUCCCCCACAUUGGAACUGAGACACGGUCCAAACUCCUACGGGAGGCAGCAUG
rnacentral:rRNA from 1 species